GGAGUAUUGCACAAUGGGGGAAACCCUGAUGCAGCAACGCCGCGUGAAGGAAGACGGUUUUCGGCUUGUAAACUUCUUUUCUUAGUGAAGAAGAAAGUGACGGGAGCUAAGGAAUAAGCAUCGGCUAACUACAUGCCGGCAGCCGCGGUAAUACGUAGGAUGCGAGCGUUAUCCGGAAUUACUGGGCGUAAAGGGAGCGCAGGCGGGACUGCAAGUUGGAUGUGAAAUGCCGCAGCUUAACUGCGGAGCUGCAUCCAAAACUGUAGUUCUUGAGUGGAGUAGAGGCAAGCGGAAUUCCGAGUGUAGCGGUGAAAUGCGUAGAUAUUCGGAGGAACACCAGUGGCGAAGGCGGCUUGCUGGGCUCUAACUGACGCUGAGGCUCGAAAGUGUGGGGAGCAA
rnacentral:rRNA from 1 species